GUGGGAGGGGGCUUGCUCCCGAUGGCUGUGAGUCAGUGACCUAUCAGUGCCUGACACUCUGCUAUCGGGAGCAAGCCCCCUCCCAC
rnacentral:misc_RNA from 1 species